rnacentral:rRNA from 1 species
GAUGAACGCUAGCGGCAGGCCUAAUACAUGCAAGUCGAACGGUGUCUUCGGACAUAGUGGCGCACGGGUGCGUAACACGUAUGCAACCUACCUUACAUUGGGGGAUAGCCUUUCGAAAGGGAGAUUAAUACCGCAUAAGACAGUAGCUGGGCAUCCAGCAGCUGUUAAAGAUUUACCGAUGUAAGCUGGGCAUGCGUCCAAUUAGCUAGUUGGUGAGGUAACGGCUCACCAAGGCAAUGAUUGGUAGGGGAACUGAGAGGUCAAUCCCCCACACUGGCACUGAGGUACGGGCCAGACUCCUACGGGAGGCAGCAGUAGGGAAUAUUGGGCAGUGGACGCAAGUCUGACCCAGCCAUGCCGCGUGCAGGAUGAAGGCGUUAUGCGUUGUAAACUGCUUUUAUACAGGAAGAAACGACUCUUGCGAGAGGCAUUGACGGUACUGUAUGAAUAAGCACCGGCUAACUCCGUGCCAGCAGCCGCCGUAAGAC